rnacentral:rRNA from 1 species
UACGUAGGGGGCACGCGUUGUCCGGAAUCAUUGGGCGUAAAGCGCGUGUAGGCGGCCAGAUAAGUCCGCUGUGAAAUCUCGAGGCUCAACUUCGAGCUGUCGGUGGAAACUGUCUGGCUAGAGUCCGGAAGAGGAGAAUGGAAUUCCUGGUGUAGCGGUGAAAUGCGCAGAUAUCAGGAAGAACACCCGUGGCGAAGGCGGUUCUCUGGGACGGUACUGACGCUGAGACGCGAAAGCGUGGGGAGCGAACAGG